rnacentral:rRNA from 1 species
AACGUAGGUGGCGAGCGUUAUCCGGAUUUACUGGGCGUAAAGCGUGUGCAGGCGGGGGACCAAGGGGGGGAUGAAAUUUCCCGGCUUAACCGGGAAGGGUUAUGCCAGACUGGUCUUCUGGAGUGCGAGAGAGGGGCGUGGAAUUCCGGGUGUAGUGGUGAAAUGCGUAGAGAUCCGGAGGAACCCCAGAGGCGAAGGCGGCGCCCUGGCUCGCAACUGACGCUCAGACACGACAGCAUGGGGAGCGAACGGG